UCGGAGCACGGCACGCGGAUCGUGGCGCGGAUUCCGCUGGAGGCGCAAUGAGGGUGCUGAUCGCCGACGACCACCCCGUGUUCCGGCGCGGGCUGCGGGC
rnacentral:tRNA from 1 species